CUUUUCAAUCCCAAAGACAUCUAAUCAAGAGCAUUAACAACUUAAGCACAUGAAUCGAUAAAGCUUUACGCAAUAUGCACUUAACGCUAGCAAAAUGCUGAUUGCAUUACCUCAAGAGUCUUGAAAUAUUUCAGUGACAACAUAUUUGUGCAUAUUCGACUCUCGACUCGAGUCGACUCUACGCAGUUUAUUCGUCUUUUAUCGAGCAUAACAAUGACGACGAUUUCUUAUCAAGGGAGCCAUGAAUAUUAUCUGAGCACCCAAACCUGAGAGCAUGCGACAAAAUACUAAAUCGAAAUUCGUUUGAAGUCGCACGUAAUGCUCUCUGUUUAUAUUUCACUCGAUGGGUUUUUCGGGCGCAGGCGUUGCUUAGUACAGCAAAUGGCCGCUACGCUGGCAAUUGGCGCCACUGUGCGAAACUCUCUCUCUCACUGAGAGACUUUUGGCUCUCUUGGCCAGCUGUUGACACGAGUUGAGGUCGUGUUUUUGCCGCCUCGGCGCCUUGAAGCGUGCUUCGGGUUUUUCCUUUUUAGAUAUAUAUGUAUAUACACACACAUAUAUAUAUAUGUUUAUAUAUUGUUUUUUUCUGUUUUAUUUGGUUUUUCCUUCGCCAGGCUCGUUGCCUGUUGUCGUUCAAAUGCUUUGGGUUUGGCCUGUGUGUGUGAAUCUGUGUGUGUAUGUGUGUGUGUGUGCGUG